GACGAACGCUGGCGGCGUGCUUAACACAUGCAAGUCGAACGGAAAGGCCCUGCUUUUGUGGGGUGCUCGAGUGGCGAACGGGUGAGUAACACGUGAGUAACCUGCCCUUGACUUUGGGAUAACUUCAGGAAACUGGGGCUAAUACCGGAUAGGAGCUCCUGCUGCAUGGUGGGGGUUGGAAAGUUUCGGCGGUUGGGGAUGGACUCGCGGCUUAUCAGCUUGUUGGUGGGGUAGUGGCUUACCAAGGCUUUGACGGGUAGCCGGCCUGAGAGGGUGACCGGCCACAUUGGGACUGAGAUACGGCCCAGACUCCUACGGGAGGCAGCAGUGGGGAAUAUUGCACAAUGGGCGGAAGCCUGAUGCAGCAACGCCGCGUGCGGGAUGACGGCCUUCGGGUUGUAAACCGCUUUCGCCUGUGACGAAGCGUGAGUGAAGGUAAUGGGUAAAGAAGCACCGGCUAACUACGUGCCAGCAGCCGCGGUGAUACGUAGGGUGCGAGCGUUGUCCGGAUUUAUUGGGCGUAAAGGGCUCGUAGGUGGUUGAUCGCGUCGGAAGUGUAAUCUUGGGGCUUAACCCUGAGCGUGCUUUCGAUACGGGUUGACUUGAGGAAGGUAGGGGAGAAUGGAAUUCCUGGUGGAGCGGUGGAAUGCGCAGAUAUCAGGAGGAACACCAGUGGCGAAGGCGGUUCUCUGGGCCUUUCCUGACGCUGAGGAGCGAAAGCGUGGGGAGCGAACAGGCUUAGAUACCCUGGUAGUCCACGCUGUAAACGGUGGGUACUAGGUGUGGGGUCCAUUCCACGGGUUCCGUGCCGUAGCUAACGCUUUAAGUACCCCGCCUGGGGAGUACGGCCGCAAGGCUAAAACUCAAAGGAAUUGACGGGGCCCCGCACAAGCGGCGGAGCAUGCGGAUUAAUUCGAUGCAACGCGUAGAACCUUACCUGGGUUUGACAUGGAUCGGGAGUGCUCAGAGAUGGGUGUGCCUCUUUUGGGGUCGGUUCACAGGUGGUGCAUGGCUGUCGUCAGCUCGUGUCGUGAGAUGUUGGGUUAAGUCCCGCAACGAGCGCAACCCUUGUUCACUGUUGCCAGCACGUUAUGGUGGGGACUCAGUGGAGACCGCCGGGGUCAACUCGGAGGAAGGUGGGGAUGACGUCAAGUCAUCAUGCCCCUUAUGUCCAGGGCUUCACGCAUGCUACAAUGGCUGGUACAGAGAGUGGCGAGCCUGUGAGGGUGAGCGAAUCUCGGAAAGCCGGUCUCAGUUCGGAUUGGGGUCUGCAACUCGACCUCAUGAAGUCGGAGUCGCUAGUAAUCGCAGAUCAGCAACGCUGCGGUGAAUACGUUCCC
rnacentral:rRNA from 1 species